CUGCAGAUCCGCCGGUAAGUUGAGGUCUCUGGUGAGCGACAUUCAUGGGAAUCACACGGCUGAAAUUACCCAGAAGUCCCCAGACAGCACCGGCAGCCAAUCAGGAGCAGCCAGCGGGGUUGUGGUUCCGAGUCUCUCCGGGCUGGAGAAGGAAUUUGGGAGGAUCCAUCUGAGGAGAGAAUCUUGCCGAGUGAUAUCUCCGGAGCUCUGUGUGUCGGUGUCUCAGCAGUUGGCGGCCAUCUUUGUUCUGCAGCUGGAGGGCAAAUCCCGGAUCAGCGGAAUGCAG